UUAAAAAUAUUUUUUUUUCUAUAUAGAAAAUAUUGAACUACUGUCAUGAUGAAAAAAAUCAUCACUUGGAACAGUUUAAAUAGAUAUUAUUCUGUGAUUCAAAUUAUCAGCUUGAAGAUAAUCUUCCAUUUUGAGAGUGUUUACGCCAAGCAGUGAUUGAUUAACCAAAGUAGUAGUAAAUGGUAGUAAGGAUACUGUGUUGUCAAACAAGUCAAAGAGAAAUUACUUCUCUUCAAUAUAAAACUCUGGCAUUCAGGAGUACUGUUUGGAACACUUCUGCAAUACUGGGGCUCAUCAAGAGGAUACAUGACUGGUACAUAUGAUUAAUCUACUGACUGAUUAUAUGUCUCAAGUGUACUCUUAUGCCUUCCAAAAUUUCAAGACAAUUUCACUGUCCUAAAACUUUAUAACAAUCACUGCUUGUUUCCAAAAUCUGAGAAGUUUAGCUAUGCUUUUACGAAUGCCAUUGUGGGCCUACUUUUGAAGAUAAAAUUGAGAUCUGGGGGUAGGUUCUGAUUAUGACAAUGACAUCCUAAACUUACAUAGGAGUUAAAAAACAAACAAACAAACAAACAAAACAACAACAACAACAACAACAACAAACCUGAAGAAUAGUGUAAUUACUAUUAUAUACACUAUAUAUAAAACACCUCAGUGAAAUGUAGAGCAAAAAAGAAUUUUGCUACUGACCCUAAUCAGUCUACUGACCCUAAACCUAGAAUUCAUAGACAAUGUCACCAAGUUGCUGCAUGUUGUGGUUUAGAAGGUUUGGAAUUUGCCAUCAAAGAAUGAUGUGACUGUUGUCUAUGACCUGCUGCUCCCUUUACACUUCUCAUCCAUCCUGUUCAGUUGCGUCUAAGUUGGGAAAAUCUUUAGCCUUAUGGCAGAAAGUUUAAAGGGACUUUUUCAAUAUUUAUUGAAAUAUCAUCCUCCAUGCUGCUGUAAAACUGAAAUUAUGCACUAUACAAAAUCACAGCAUCACAGAAUGGUUGAAGUUUGAAGGGACUUCUGAAGAUCAUCUAGUCUAACCCCCUUGCCAAGCAGGAUCACCUAAAGCACAUUUUGCAGGAUGGUGUCAAACAAUCCAUAUUAACAAUCAAACCAUCAUACAAUCCAUAUUAACAACUUUGAUUGUCAGAUCAUAUUCAUGCUUAUCCUGUUUGUUGUUGUUGGUUUGAUUUUCUCUCAGAACAAGAGUUCUGGCACACAAAUAUUCACACAUCACACAAAAUAAAAAGUCUGGAAAACACUAUAAAAUCA
rnacentral:lncRNA from 1 species